GAUCCUGGCUCAGGAUGAACGCUGGCGGCGUGCUUAACACAUGCAAGUCGAACGAAGCGCUUAAAUUUGAUUCUUCGGAUGAAGAUUUUUGUGACUGAGUGGCGGACGGGUGAGUAACGCGUGGGUAACCUGCCUCAUACAGGGGGAUAACAGUUAGAAAUGACUGCUAAUACCGCAUAAGCGCACAGGACCGCAUGGUCUGGUGUGAAAAACUCCGGUGGUAUGAGAUGGACCCGCGU
rnacentral:rRNA from 1 species